rnacentral:rRNA from 1 species
GACGUAGGGCGCGAGCGUUGUCCGGAUUUAUUGGGCGUAAAGAGCUCGUAGGCGGCUUGUCGCGUCGACUGUGAAAACCCGCGGCUCAACCGUGUGGCGGGCAGUUGAUACGGGCAGGCUAGAGUUCGGUAGGGGAGACUGGAAUUCCUGGUGUAGCGGUGAAAUGCGCAGAUAUCGGGAGGAACACCAGCGGCGAAGGCGGCACUCUGGGCUGGAACUGACGCUGAGGAGCGAAAGCGUGGGUAGCAAACAGG